rnacentral:lncRNA from 1 species
UCCCGAAACACAUGAUGAAUAUCUCAGGUUCAGCCCUCCAACAAAGCAAAUAGAUCUAAGAGUUUUUCCUUUUCUUUUGAAAAACACACGUUCAAUCGCCUUUAUUUAUCUCCACGUGAAUCAACGUCUACCAUUCCCUCACGCUUGGCGCCAAUGAGUUUUUGUUCGUAAUUUUCCUUGGAUAUCGUGGGAUAAGAUUUGC